ACCAGCUUGCUAGGGGAGAACUUUGUGUUUCACAAGGCAUUUGUUUACUCUUAAAAAGGAAAAUUGCUGGACUGGGCACGGUGGCUCACGCCUGUAAUUCCAGCACUUU